CAGCCCUAAACGAUGCGCGUUAGGUGUAUCGGUGACCACGAGUCACCGAGGUGCCGAAGGGAAACCGUGAAACGUGCCGCCUGGGAAGUACGGUCGCAAGGCUGAAACUUAAAGGAAUUGGCGGGGGAGCACAACAACGGGUGGAGCUUGCGGUUUAAUUUGGAUUCAACGCCGGAAAUCUUACCGGGACCGACAGCAACAUGAAGGCCAAGCUGAAGACUUUGCCGGAUUAGCUGAGAGGAGGUGCAUGGCGUAGUCGUGU
rnacentral:rRNA from 1 species